UACGGAGGGUGCAAGCGUUAAUCGGAAUUACUGGGCGUAACGCGUGCGCAGGCGGUUUGUUAAGUCUGUUGUGAAAUCCCCGGGCUCAACCUGGGAAUGGCGAUGGAUACUGGCGGGCUAGAGUGUGUCAGAGGAUGGUGGAAUUCCCGGUGUAGCGGUGAAAUGCGUAGAGAUCGGGAGGAACAUCAGUGGCGAAGGCGGCCAUCUGGGACAACACUGACGCUGAAGCACGAAAGCGUGGGGAGCAAACAGG
rnacentral:rRNA from 1 species